rnacentral:piRNA from 1 species
AAGUAAAUACAAGCUCAAAACUG